rnacentral:rRNA from 1 species
UACGUAGGCAGCGAGCGUUGUUCGGAGUUACUGGGCGUAAAGGGUGUGUAGGCGGUUCUUUAAGUUUGGUGUGAAAUCUCCCGGCUCAACCGGGAGGGUGCGCCGAAAACUGGGGGGCUAGAGUGCGGGAUGGGAGAGUAGAAUUCCUGGUGUAGCGGUGAAAUGCGUAGAUAUCAGGAGGAAUACCGGUGGUGUAGACGGCUCUCUGGACCGCCACUGACGCUGAGACACGAAAGCGUGGGUAGCAAACAGG